CGAGGCGAGUCGAAGGAAGAUACUACGCGGCUUAUUCAUCACGCACGAAUCACGUGCUCGCUCGACCGGCCGCACGAGAACAGGUGCGCGGCGACGAACUGACACGUAAACAUACGUGACCUGUUCGCGAAUCGUUCGCGAGGGGAUAGUUACGGCAUUCCCGAACAAAGAGAAGAGUUUCGCUCGAGGCGAAACAAUGAAGCAGCAGCAGCAGCGUCGCCGAAAACGACCGACGAGAAGACGAAUCGCGCGCAAAAAAAGCUCCGGAACUCGGGAGUUUCGUCGUCGCAAGCCACUUUUAGCAGGUUUUGUACGAUCCUCGAGAUUGCACAGGGACAGAAUCGAUAAUAGUACCCGGGGAAAAACGCGAUCAUUCUGGGAAUAAGAUAGAGGCGCACAAGAUAGAGGCUACUCACGAUUACGUUUUCGCUGCGUUGAAGAAGAUAGUUCGCGGCUUGCAUGCGUUGAACUGGUCACCGAUUUAAGACACCUUGGCCAGUUUAUAUUCGACCACAGCUCGUAUUCGUGCCACUUCGUCUGCGCCUCUGGCUGAUCCCCGCUUUUCAGCUGCAACUAUAUACGAAGCCCGGAGGUCUAUCGGUUAGCAAGCGAUUCUAGAUAGCGAGACCCUGCCUGACACUCUUACCGAUGACUCGAUCAUGCGCUCGUCUUUCUGUGCGAUCGACGGAGGUCGUUCCGGGUCGAUCCUCGCCGCGGAUAACGAGCUGAUCUCGCCGAGGAAUACGUCGUUCCCCCAUUUCCCCGGCCGUCGCUCGCUUCUCAUCGCCUUUGUGCUCCGUUUCGCCGGGGAGCAUCACCCCUUUCGCUCGCUGCCCGCGAUUUCGCAAGGUGACCGAGUAACGAUAUCAAUUUCUGACGCGAAUCCCCGCCGUUUUCUCUCUCGUCCAGACGUUGCUCUCCCAUCACACUGAAACUAGAGAUUCCUGGGGUCAUUCGAAGCAACUUUUUCCUUUACAAGAAUUUCCUACGAGGCAUCGUUCGCGAAUUAUCGACGAGAAACCAACUGGCCAAUGAGAGCCGGGCUCGGCUGGCGCGAGGCGGUCCAGCCGACGAG